rnacentral:rRNA from 1 species
UACGGGGGGGGCAAGCGUUGUUCGGAAUUACUGGGCGUAAAGGGCUCGUAGGCGGCCAACUAAGUCGGACGUGAAAUCCCUCGGCUUAACCGGGGAACUGCGUCCGAUACUGGAUGGCUUGAGGUUGGGAGAGGGAUGCGGAAUUCCAGGUGUAGCGGUGAAAUGCGUAGAUAUCGUAAGGAAGACCAGUGGCGAAGGCGGGUCUCUGGACAGUUCCUGACGCUGAGGCACGAAGGCUAGGGGAGCAAACGGG